GUCUACGGCCACGCCACCCUGAACAGCCCCAUCUCAUCUGAUCUCGGAAGCUAAGCAGGGUCGGCCCAGUUAGUACUUGGACGGGAGACCACCUGGGAAGCCCAGGUGAUGUAUGGG
rnacentral:rRNA from 1 species